CCUACGGGAGGCAGCAGUGGGGAAUAUUGCGCAAUGGGCGAAAGCCUGACGCAGCGACGCCGCGUGAGGGAUGAAGGUCUUCGGAUCGUAAAGCUCUGUCCUCAAGGAAGAUAAUGACGGGACUUGAGGAGGAAGCCCCGGCUAACUACGUGCCAGCAGCCGCGGUAAUACGUCGGGGGCUAGCGUUAUCCGGAAUUAAGGGGCGUAAAGGGUGCGUAGGUGGUUUCUUAAGUCAGAGGUGAAAGGCUACGGCUCAACCGUAGUAAGCCUUUGAAACUGGGGAACUUGAGUGCAGGAGAGGAGAGUGGAAUUCCUGGUGUAGCGGUGAAAUGCGUAGAUAUUAGGAGGAACACCAGUUGCGAAGGCGGCUCUCUGGACUGUAACUGACGCUGAGGCACGAAAGCGUGGGGAGCGAACAGGAUUAGAUACCCUAGUAGUC
rnacentral:rRNA from 1 species